rnacentral:lncRNA from 1 species
CUGUCCACUGGAAAACGUCUAGGCUCUGCUGCCAUACAGAACCCUUCUGCUUCCUUAAGGAGACGGUCCACUGUCCCCUUGUCUUCUCUCCUACUCUAUCGGGGGCCCCUUCCCCGUCACUUCUCACCGAUGCCACCACAAGCAGAAGCACUGUCCGGCGGUGCUGCCCAGCGGGGGGCUCCCAGCCACACCGCUGCUCUUCCACCCGCACACCAAGGGCUCCCAGAUCCUCAUGGACCUCAGCCACAAGGCUGUCAAGAGGCAGGCCAGCUUCUGCAACGCCAUCACCUUCAGCAACCGCCCGGUCCUCAUCUACGAGCAAGUCAGGCUGAAGAUCACCAAGAAGCAGUGCUGCUGGAGCGGGGCCCUGCGGCUGGGCUUCACUAGCAAGGACCCGUCCCGCAUCCACCCUGACUCGCUGCCCAAGUACGCCUGCCCCGACCUGGUGUCCCAGAGUGGCUUCUGGGCCAAGGCGCUGCCUGAGGAGUUUGCCAAUGAGGGCAACAUCAAAG